UCAAACUUGGUCAUUUAGAGGAAGUAAAAGUCGUAACAAGGUUUCCGUAGGUGAACCUGCGGAAGGAUCAUUAUUGAAUAAAACUUGGUUGGGCUGUUGCUGAUCUUUAGGGAUAGGUGCACGCCUGCUACCAACUUUUAAACCACCUGUGCACCUUUGUAGAUGCCAGAUCAGAUCAGUAGAUAUUCAAGUACAUGAAUACUUGGUUUUGAGGAGAUGCUUUGAAGCUUUCCUUGCUGAACAUAUCUGGCCUCUGCGUCUUUUUGAUUCAUAUACACCAGCAUGUCACAGAAUGUUUAUUUGAUAGGGCAUUUUUGCCUUUACAAAUUAUAAUACAACUUUCAACAACGGAUCUCUUGGCUCUCGCAUCGAUGAAGAACGCAGC
rnacentral:misc_RNA from 1 species